rnacentral:rRNA from 1 species
GUGCGCCGCGGUAAUACCGGCAGCUCAAGUGAUGGCCACUCUUAUUGGGCCUAAAGCGUCCGUAGCUGGCCGCGCAAGUCCGUCGGGAAAUCCAUCAGCCCAACUGAUGGGCGUCCGGCGGAAACUGCACAGCUUGGGACCGGAAGGCUCGAGAGGUACGUCCGGGGUAGGAGUGAAAUCCCGUAAUCCCGCACGGACCACCGAUGGCGAAAGCACUUCGAGAAAACGGAUCCGACAGUGAGGGACGAAAGCCAGGGUCUCCAACCGGAUUAGAAACCGUGUAGUC